CUCCACUCCCUGUGGCGGAUUCCGCACAGCUCCACUAUCCCCUGGCAGGCCACAAUAACGGCCGCGAACCUGCUCCACCUCCUACGACGGAUACCAUGCGAUUCUCCUAUCCGCUGGCAAGUCACGACAAUGGACGCUGCUCCACCCCUCAUAACAGAUUCCACGUGGCGGGCCACGGUGAUGGCCACAUGUCUGCUCCACCACCUUUCGCAAUCAAUUCCCCUGACCAUGGGCGGCCCACUACCAGGCGGUUACAAACGUCGCCAUCAAUCCGUUGCCUCCU
rnacentral:lncRNA from 1 species